CUAUGGGAAAACAAAAAGAUACACCUGCCAACAAGAGAGCAGCAUGGCGGGACAGAUUUUCAUCUAGGAUUCAGUUAAACUCUACGCCCGAAGCUCGCAGUCUAAGCAGUCUAUGAAUAUAUGUAUUUUGCUCCUUAUUAGUAAAUAUAUUUUUGUAUCCUUCGUUUUUAAUUUCUCCGACUUCCCACUUUCCUUGUAAGAGCGUGCAGUGUUUCAGAAAUGCAAAAUGGCCGACUGAAUAUUUGUAUUUUCGACCGACGACGAGCAAAAAUAGUAGGAUACUCACAAGUCUACUGUAUUUUCUUGUAAUUUUACUUCAGAGCUCUUUUUUAUAUGUAUAAUAAUACCAAUGAAUUCGUUUUUUUUCAUGUCAAGCACACGUCAGGUUGAAGUCGACCUUCAGCCGCUCCAUAAGUCCUUCCACGUGUUUGGAGUGCCAUCUGCGCUCGCCCCCUAUCGUCCGGUUAAGCUGUAAUGUCAAAGACUCCUGUCUGCAGCAUCGAUUGCAAAAUCGGACCAGAGUGCAACUUUUGACUUUAAUUAUCCGAAUG